rnacentral:rRNA from 1 species
CAGCCAUGCCGCGUGAGUGAUGAAGGCCUUAGGGUCGUAAAGCUCUUUCGCCUGUGAAGAUAAUGACGGUAGCAGGUAAAGAAACCCCGGCUAACUCCGUGCCAGCAGCCGCGGUAAUACGGAGGGGGUUAGCG